UUCCCAAAUCUUCCUUCCCCAGAUGCAGCCGUCGCCUUCUCCUCUUCCCCACGCGAGCUCUCCUCUCCCCUUUCAGCGCCUCCUAGAUAGGGUUACCGACGUCGCCCCCUAUCCAUGACCUGAUUCGCGGAGGUGGCUGGUAGGUGCGCUAAGGUCGAUGGCGCCGAGGACGAGGCAGAGCAGCAGAGGUGGUUCUGUUGUGCUGGGUUGAGCGGCGGCCGGAGCGGGUCAGCCACAGCCACGGAGAUGGCCGUCCGUGGAGUCGUCCUCAUCCACAGAAGGGAAGGGAGGACGAGAUGAAGAGCGCCACCGGGAGCAGAUCUGGCCGUCGACGGCAAGAAGGCCAUGCCUUCUUCCACCUCCGUGCGGUCACCCAGACAAUUCCAUCAGACUUGGCCAAAAAUACCAUCAAUGUAUCACCUGUACAUAUGUUUAGGGCUGAUGCACCCGUCUAAAUGAAAUAUGGUCUGUACUAAAUGAAUGUUGGUGUGCUAGGGCUAUCUGUAUCUGCUGUGCACCAGUGUGUCCAGGAGAAGGAGCAGCAACUCCUUGGACAAUGGUCUGGCCUGAUGUAUGUUUGUUUGCUAACAUAGUGCUAAUGGGUGUGCAAAUUAAGGUUCGGCCACGUCUGCGGCAACGGCGGGGACCUCCGCCCGUGGGUCUCCGUCUUGCUGCUCAUCCUCUUUUCUAGGUACAUUGACUCAUAAUGAUGAAGUUGCAACAGUAUGGAGUACAUACAAUUUUUUCUUUCGGAACUAAACUCGUCUCAAGGUAAAUACUACAGGAAGCACUGCAUAUAUGUUCAUGCCACCCUGAAUAUAUUGGAUUUAGAUCUUGAUGUAUAUAUGCAGUAUGUAUGUUCUAUAAAGAUCAGCGUGAAGAGUGUUUGUUCAUUGGAACAUGUUUUUUCUUCCUGAUUUAGGGUCUUACUACAAUAUAACUAUCUAGAAAGCAUUUUAUAGGAGGUCACAUUCAGACUUCUUUACUAAAUUCUUCAUAGCCUUACCAUGAUAGUUGCAGUACAGCUCUCACAUGAGGCCUGCUUAUUAUUUCUCCCACCUUUUCUAUUCAUACUACUGGUGUUCCGGCGUUGUUUAUUGCCCAAUUUCUUUUCCGUUCAAAGUCACCUUAUACACAAGCAACUACCAAUAGCCUUGAAGCUUCUAUCACCAAAACCACUCUGAUGUAUAUUACCUUGGAACUCAUCAUUUCUGGAGACGACUUCAUGUAUUCCUACGGUUAUCUUCCUAUCUUAGUUUACUCCAUCAUUUGUUUCUGAGAGGCUCGCUAUGCGGUUCGCGCUGCUUGCUGUGCCAGCCGGCGCGCCCAUCCACGUGUUCAAGAACCUCCUGCUGAUUCACACCAUGACUGGUAUGCAUGCUAGGACGCCUCUCACUGCUGAAUCAUAAUUUCAAGAAAUGUUGUUGUCAAAUGCAAAUAGUUAGUGUGUUAUGCAGUCCACUUAGCAUACUUUUCGUCUUUGCUUACUUGGAUGGUUAUUCAUACCAAACACUUAAUAAUUCAAGCUCAGUAUUUUCCAUUUUGUAAAUAAAACAAUUGUUCACAGAUGCCUGUCACUGUCACAUUUUCUUGAUAUGUUUUCCAACACCACCACUAUUAAGUAUAUGCCUAUACCCAUCAAACCAUCUUUUUAAUCUCAUCCCUGUACCUUUGCGUGAAGUUCGUUCAAAUGAUUUUAGGCCUAGAGCCCGGAUAAUAGUGUACUAGCCUUGUGAAGGUUCACAGUAUACCCCUCAAUUUCUUUUGGAAAGACUGUUGUCCUAUGGUCUUCCGGUAUGUCUCUUUCCAAUUUGCAAAGUGUACAAUAAUUACUACUUUACUCUUAUUAUUUCCUCUGAUUGGAUUUUAAAACUGUGCUCACUCAUCCAUAGUUAAAUAUUAUAGUAUUGCAAGUUUAGGAAGCACCUGAAAUAUUGAAAGAAGCUAAGAAUCUUGUUUCGUCUGGUGUCGCUCACAAAAUUUUCUUCUGAUUCUUGCACGAGCUACUCACACAAUGGCCACCAGUUCUCUGAUCCUUCUUAUUACAUAGUACACUACUAUCUUAUUUUCAUUCUUUUGCUUCUUUGACCCAUCAUCUUCGGGUAUUUACAUGUAAACAGAAAGUCUCGAUGACGCUGCUGCUGCUGCUGCUCUCGCUUCACUUACUAUACCCGAGGCAAUGGAGUCUGCAAAGGAAUUUUCCAUCAGGAUGAGAUAGGCGUCGUUUAUUCACCUAAGUAACCCUCUUCUCACCACACUAAAAUUUGUAGCAUACUCUGAUCAUACAGAUGCCAGAUGUGGUUUAUUCUUAAGAGUUGUUAAUUGUUCUGAAAGUGAUGGAUCAGAAGCUGAUGAAGUUGUCCAUAUUCACACUACAAGUAGUUGGGGGCCUGCUAAAUGUCAUCAACAAGAGAAGGUUCUAUCUAGCAUUAGGGAGGGCUUUAUUUAUAAUUCUAACAAUUAUUUAUGUAAAGUUUUUUUUCUUUUGAUCUGAAUGGCAUGGAAAAUGUUGAUUCAUUUCAUGUUGUCAUUUUGUUUUAUUUUUCUGUCUUGCUCAGUAAAACUUGCUUUUGUAAUUAGGCCAAAGUUUCCAUCCCUUUUAUAAAAGAAAACAAAUAACUUGACGCUAACAUCUACUGUGCUUAUCAGAGAAGACCCCAUGCAGAUGGGCGACAGGUGCAUCAGGGUGACCAUCCACCAUUGCUUCUUUGACAGCAUGCGGCCGAUCUAUGCAGUUCAGCAAGGUCCACCUCUUCAACAAAACUACACCAGGGACUGGGGCAUAUACGCUGUCUGCGACAUUGUCAAAGCUCAGGUUGUAUCCAGUGUAACAUAUAUGAUGAACAGAUGAAGACUGUUUUCAAAUACAUGCCGGAGAAGGUACCUGCAUCUUCAUACAAGAUGAGACGAGGAUGCUGCUGCAGGCUGUUGACAGAGUACAGGCGGCCGGGGGGGGGGGGGGGGGUGAGCAGGGCCUCUCCGGGCAAGGCCAUGGGUAUCUUCUUUGCCAUGGGCACCAAGGGCAGUGUGCCAAGACUGAGACAUUGCCACCUGCUGUCCACAUCGAUGCCGACGAGGGAAAAAAUACACGGAGCUAAUUCGAUCCCCAUCAACAUCAGAUGCUGCAUUGUCCGUCCUGAAUCCUUGGAUGUUGGGAAGUUCGAAGAAGCAUGUGCUGUAGGUAUGUCUUUGUAAUCAGUAUAUAUUUAUAUGCUUCUGCAAAUUAUAAAUCAUGUAUUUGCAUUCACUGACUGUCCACUAAAUACUUCUACCAAUUUGAUUUGAUAAUGCGGUUGUUUGGAUGCUAAAAGAAUAAUGAAUUGGUGCACAUUUUUAAUGAUAAGACAUCGAAGGGCCAACGUCUUGUUAGAAGUAGCUUAUUCUUGGUCAAUCCUUCCACUUUACCAAGCUAAUGAGGGUGAUCAAGCACUUAUUUUUUUACCUGUCCCAAGGGAUUUGAGGAAUGAUUUCGUGCUUUUGAUGAAUGUGGCUGCAACCAUAUUCCUAUAGUCAGUGAUUCAAUAAUUGUCACAUUUUCCUUCCAACUUUUAUAUUGCUUCUUUCAUGUCCAGUUGUUGAAUACAUGCGCAGACUUGAUUUUUGCCACUGGAAACAGUACAUACUCUUAAAGAUUUUGUGGUGACCACAUGAUUGUUGCUCUUGGCUCCAUAUGCUUUUUGUUAAACUUGCUCAUAAAGUACAUAACUUUGAACAAUGCAAUGAAAUCAGUAGAAGCAUCACAUGAUAUGAUUGUUCAUGCUGGCAGCACAAAGCAUAUUGAAGGAAUAACCUAGCGGCGGCUGUACAAUACUAUCAUUGUAGUAGCAUUCCCAAUUUUUUAUAUUCCUAUGUUCCGAACACUCGAUAAAAUUAUGUCAAAACUGACAAAAUUUUGUGAACUGGAGGGAGUAACUAUUAUCUUAUUCUCUGUUUUAAUGUUGUACUCAUGCAACUGAACUUCCAUACAUUUCGAAAUUAUCUUUAGAUGUUCAAGAAUGGGGCUGCUAAUCUGUGCUUAUGAGCAUCAGUAACUACUAUCUAAUGUUCACGUACAUAGUGUCGUUGAUGUCAGGGACCAAACCAAGUGCAUAAUCUGAGGUUGGGAGGCUAUUAAUGAAUGUCCAGUUUAAAUUUUAUAUGCAUACGCAUGUGUGAUUUUAAACCAAAAGCAUUCUCUCUCUUUUGGAGAUCCCCUGCCUUUUGGAAGAUGUUUAGCUUUGAUUUCAACUGCCAGCCUUCUCUCUGUACUCACUGAUCCGCCUGGUAAGACCUACCUGUAAAUAAAAAUCUACUUGCUAUGCUUUAUAAUUAAAAUAUCUGCUGCUGCAGUUCUGCUGCAUAUAUUCUUCUUUGUAAGCAUUGUCGUUUCUUUCAGUGUAUUCUUUUUUGAGCAACUAGCAACCAUCAAGGCUAUCAAACACGUUAAGAAUUGCAACAGCAAGGUACGCACUCAGGUGGCGGCACCUGGUUGACUGGUCAUGAGUAAGGGCAAGUUGUCUGUUUCAGUUUAUGAGUCCAAUGAUGCAAUUUGAGAUAAACUAGAGCAUAUUGAGACACUUUUGAGAGAAAUAAUUUGUAUUAUUGCACACACAUGCCUGGUUCAAAUAUGAGGUGUAUGAUAGAGAGUUAGUAACAUGGUCUAAUUCAUUACAUACUUGUGUUGGUCGAUUUAUUUGUCGGACAAUUUGCUCUGCUCCUGAAAUGUCACUAGGUUUGUGAGUUAUAUCAGAGUUAGUAACUUGGUUUAAUUCGUUACAUACUUGUAUAUAUUGAUUAUUUAUUUGUUGGACAAUUUGCUCUGCUCCUAAGAAAAUAGGACUAGCAAGUGAUAUAACUCUUAUGACAGCUCAUGGUUAGGUUAUAGCAUGUUUAAUUACUCUCAUUUCUCUCAGUAACCUUGCAUACCCCUUUAUAAUGGUAUGUACACACAUCCAUUAUGUUUAGCUGUGGGAUGUUGGAUUGGUGUGCUUGUGGCCUGAAGAAGAGUGCUCACAUCAAAUGCUUACGUUAGUCUUACGUCCUUGUGUGGCCAUACUUUUGCUUGAUAACAAACACCUGCAUUGUUCCUUUUUCUUUGUAAAAAGUAAUAGAAUAUCUAUUAGUUUCAUUGGUAUAUGAGUGCAAUGUUCCUUAUAAUUAAUAGGUAUAGGAGCUGGCGCUGAUACGAGUGUCCACCUCCUAUAAGAUGACAAAGAUGGAGAGGAAGCAGGAGUGUUGGCGCAGGAGCAGCAGAUGUGGGCACAGUGCUGGCAAGGCGGGAUGCAGGGGCAGCAUGACCUCGAUGGGCUCGCCAUCGACGGCAGCGGAUGCCCAUUCCCAUGGCGCACCACGCAGCCGGUGGGUACUAUUACUAGCGCCUCCUUGAGCUAAGCGACUUGUUUUGGUUCCCCUCUCUUGUUGAGUUUUUUUUUGCGGGACUCUUGUUGAGCUUUUAUCUAUGAAUGAUACUCUGAUCAUCAUUUUCCACGAAGAAAUUGUAAUUCGAAUUGAGAUUGAGAAUUUGAAAACGGCCUUACAGGACACGAGCCGUGGCACUACAAAGGUGUUGUACUUGGGUUGAA